rnacentral:rRNA from 1 species
GAUGAACGCUGGCGGCGUGCCUAAUACAUGCAAGUCGAGCGGACAGACGCGAAUCUUGCUUCUCUGAUGUUAGCGGCGGACGGGUGAGUAACACGUGGAUAACCUACCUAUCAUACUGGUAUAUCUUCGGGAAACCGGCGCUAAUCCCGUAUGAUAUUCUGAACCGCAUGGUUCAAAAGUGAAAGACGGUCUUGCUGUCACGUAUCGAUGGAUCCGCGCUGCAUUAGCUAGUUGGUAGGGUAACGGCCUACCAAGGCAACGAUGCAUAGCCGACCUGAGAGAGGGGUCGGCGACAUGGGAGCUGGAACGGGGUCAAUGGUACUACGGGAGGGAGCAGUAGGGAAUGUUCCGCAGUAGGCGGGAGCCUGACGGAGUAGGGCGGCGUGAGUGGUGGAGGUCCCGGGAGCGUAAAACUCUGUUAUUGGGGAAGAACCGAUGUGUAAGGAAAUGUGGACUGAGUGACGGUAACUGGUAAGGAAGCAACGGCUAACUACGUG